rnacentral:rRNA from 1 species
AAGGUUUCGGUAGGUGAACGUACGGAAGAAUCAUUGU